rnacentral:rRNA from 1 species
CAGCCGCCGCGGUAAUACGGAGGGCGCGAGCGUUGUCCGGAUUCACUGGGCGUAAAGCGUCCGUAGCCGGGUUGGUUAGUCUCCCGGGAAAUCUGGCCGCUUAACGGUCAGAAUUCCGGGAGAUACUGCCAGCCUAGGGACCGGGAGAGGCCGAGGGUAUUCCCGGAGUAGGGGUGAAAUCCUAUAAUCCCGGGAGGACCACCUGUGGCGAAGGCGCCCCGCUGGAACGGGUCCGACGGUGAGGGACGAAGGCCAGGGGAGCAAACCGGAUUAGAUACCCGGGUAGUCCUGGCUGUAAAGGAUGCGGGCUAGGUGUCGGGUGAGCUUCGAGCUCGCCCGGUGCCGGAGGGAAACCGUUAAGUCCGCCGCCUGGGGAGUACGGCCGCAAGGCUGAAACUUAAAGGAAUUGGCGGG